UUGGUGGUUUCCAACUCGACUGGUAAGGUGACGUGAAUGAGAAAGGAAGGACAUCAUCAAGAGACAGUCACUUUGUCUCAAUUUGUGGGACAUAAGCAAGGCCCAAAAGGCAUGAAUCCUGAGAUAAAACAACAAGAUGAAUACUCCCCCUGCAGUCACCAAACAGCAUGUGUUCAACAGUUGCUUAUCAUGUUGCCUGGAACAUAUUUGGAACCCAAUAAAUAGAUGGCUGGCUGAAUGAGUGGCAUGGAGAAUCUACGUAAUUGUGGGUAUGUUUUCAACCAAUUGAUGCUGG
rnacentral:lncRNA from 10 species